rnacentral:rRNA from 1 species
GAUGAACGCUGGCGGCGUGCCUAAUACAUGCCAGUCGAGCGAACAGACGAGGAGCUUGCUCCUCUGACGUUAGCGGCGGACGGGUGAGUAACACGUGGAUAACCUCCCUAUAAGACUGGGAUAACUUCGGGAAACCGGAGCUCAUACCGGAUAAUAUAUUGAACCGCAUGGCUCAAUAGUGAAAGACGGUUUUGCUGUCACUUAUAGAUGGAUCCGCGCCGCAUUAGCUAGUUGGUAAGGUAACGGCUUACCAAGGCAACGAUGCGUAGCCGACCUGAGAGGGUGAUCGGCCACACUGGAACUGAGACACGGUCCAGACUCCUACGGGAGGCAGCAGUAGGGAAUCGUCCGCAAUGGGCGAAAGCCUGACGGAGCAACGCCGCGUGAGUGAUGAAGGUCUUCGGAUCGUAAAACUCUGUUAUUAGGGAAGAACAACUGUGUAAGUAACUGUGCACGUCUUGACGGUACCUGAUCAGAAAGCCACGGCUAACUACGUG